rnacentral:rRNA from 1 species
AGGAUGAACGCUGGCGGUCUGCUUAACACAUGCAAGUCGAACGGGCGUAGCAAUACGUUAGUGGCGGACGGGUGAGUAACGCGUGAGAAUCUACCUUCAGGACGGAGACAACAGUUGGAAACGACUGCUAACCCCCGAUGUACUGAAAAGGCAAAUAUUUAUAGCCUGAAGAAGAGCUCGCGUCCGAUUAGCUAGUUGGAGAGGUAAAAGCUCACCAAGACGACGAUCGGUAGCUGGUCUGAGAGGACGAUCAGCCACACUGGGACUGAGACACGGCCCAGACUCCUACGGGGGGCAGCAGUGGGGAAUUUUCCGCAAUGGGCGAAAGCCUGACGGAGCAAGACCGCGUGGGGGAAGAAGGCUCUUGGGUUGUAAACCCCUUUUCUCUGGGAAGAAAGUUGUGAAAGCAGCCUGACGGUACCAGAGGAAUCAGCAUCGGCUAACUCCGUGCCAGCAGCCGC